GAACAGACAGAGCUGUGGGUUUAUUGUUCUUAUAUACACCUUAGUACCACCCACAGGGUUUUGGAACAAAACCAAUAAACACAUACAAUACACUCAGACACUCCCACACAAAAUCCUCCCCUCUGCCUGUGAUACAAUUACCUUACCCAAUGGGUAAUGUAAUUAUCACAAGCAGAGAAAUACAUUUUUUCCACAUUAUUCAUAACUUGAAAAGUAU